AUUGAACGCUGGCGGAAUGCUUUACACAUGCAAGUCGAGCGGCAGCGCGGGGCAACCUGGCGGCGAGCGGCGAACGGGUGAGUAAUACAUCGGAACGUGCCCAGACGUGGGGGAUAACUACUCGAAAGAGUGGCUAAUACCGCAUACGAUCUAAGGGUGAAAGCGGGGGAUCGCAAGACCUCGCGCUAUUGGAGCGGCCGAUAUCAGAUUAGGUAGUUGGUGGGGUAAAGGCCUACCAAGCCGACGAUCUGUAGCUGGUCUGAGAGGACGACCAGCCACACUGGGACUGAGACACGGCCCAGACUCCUACGGGAGGCAGCAGUGGGGAAUUUUGGACAAUGGGCGCAAGCCUGAUCCAGCCAUGCCGCGUGCGGGAAGAAGGCCUUCGGGUUGUAAACCGCUUUUGUCAGGGAAGAAAUCUUCUGGGUUAAUACCUCGGGAGGAUGACGGUACCUGAAGAAUAAGCACCGGCUAACUACGUG
rnacentral:rRNA from 1 species